rnacentral:rRNA from 1 species
AUUGAACGCUGGCGGAAUGCUUUACACAUGCAAGUCGAACGGUAGAGGGGGCAACCCCUUGAGAGUGGCGAACGGGUGAGUAAUAUAUCGGAACGUGCCCAGUCGUGGGGAUAACGUAGCGAAAGUUACGCUAAUACCGCAUACGAUCUAAGGAUGAAAGCGGGGGAUCGCAAGACCUCGCGCGAUUGGAGCGGCCGAUAUCAGAUUAGGUAGUUGGUGGGGUAAAGGCUCACCAAGCCAACGAUCUGUAGCUGGUCUGAGAGGACGACCAGCCACACUGGAACUGAGACACGGUCCAGACUCCUACGGGAGGCAGCAGUGGGGAAUUUUGGACAAUGGACGCAAGUCUGAUCCAGCCAUUCCGCGUGCAGGAUGAAGGCCCUCGGGUUGUAAACUGCUUUUGUACGGAACGAAAAGGUUUCUCUUAAUACGAGGAGCUCAUGACGGUACCGUAAGAAUAAGCACCGGCUAACUACGUGCCAGCAGCCGCGGUAAAGUGACU